rnacentral:rRNA from 1 species
ACAAAUAAGUUAAAACUUUCAACAACGGAUCUCUUGGUUCUGGCAUCGAUGAAGAACGCAGCGAAAUGCGAUAAGUAAUGUGAAUUGCAGAAUUCAGUGAAUCAUCGAAUCUUUGAACGCACAUUGCGCCCGGUAGUACUCUACCGGGCAUGCCUGUUCGAGCGUCAUUUCAACCCUCAAGCCCUGCUUGGUGUUGGGGCCCUACGGCUGCCGUAGGCCCUGAAAGGAAGUGGCGGGCUCGCUACAACUCCGAGCGUAGUAAUUCAUUAUCUCGCUAGGGAGGUUGCGGCGUGCUCCUGCCGUUAAAGACCCAUCUUUAACCAAGGUUGACCUCGGAUCAGGUAGGAAUACCCGCUGAACUUAAGCAUAUCAAUAAGCGGAGGAAAAGAAACCAACAGGGAUUGCCCUAGUAACGGCGAGUGAAGCGGCAACAGCUCAAAUUUGAAAUCUGGCUUCGGCCCGAGUUGUAAUUUGUAGAGGAUGCUUUUGGUGAGGUGCCUUCUGAGUUCCCUGGAACGGGACGCCAGAGAGGGUGAGAGCCCCGUAUAGUCGGCCACCGAUCCUUUGUAAAGCUC